GGAAUAUUGGACAAUGGGCGCAAGCCUGAUCCAGCCAUGCCGCGUGUGUGAAGAAGGCCUUAGGGUUGUAAAGCACUUUCAGCGAGGAGGAAGGGGGUUGUGUUACUAGCGCAGCCUUUUGACGUUACUCGCAGAAGAAGAACCGGCUAACUCCGUGCCAGCAGCCGCGGUAAUACGGAGGGUGCAAGCGUUAAUCGGAAUUACUGGGCGUAAAGCGCACGUAGGCGGUAUGUUAAGUUGGAUGUGAAAGCCCCGGGCUCAACCUGGGGAUUGCAUUCAAAACUGGCAUGCUAGAGUAUGUGAGAGGGGGGUAGAAUUCCAAGUGUAGCGGUGAAAUGCGUAGAGAUUUGGAGGAAUACCAGUGGCGAAGGCGGCCCCCUGGCACAAUACUGACGCCGAGGUGCGAAAGCGUGGGGAGCAAAC
rnacentral:rRNA from 1 species